rnacentral:rRNA from 1 species
GACGAACGCUGGCGGCGUGCUUAACACAUGCAAGUCGAACGGAAAGGCCCUGCUUUUGUGGGGUGCUCGAGUGGCGAACGGGUGAGUAACACGUGAGUAACCUGCCCUCGACUUUGGGAUAACUUCAGGAAACUGGGGCUAAUACCGGAUAGGAGCUCCUGCUGCAUGGUGGGGGUUGGAAAGUUUCGGCGGUUGGGGAUGGACUCGCGGCUUAUCAGCUUGUUGGUGGGGUAGUGGCUUACCAAGGUUUUGACGGGUAGCCGGCCUGAGAGGGUGACCGGCCACAUUGGGACUGAGAUACGGCCCAGACUCCUACGGGAGGCAGCAGUGGGGAAUAUUGCACAAUGGGCGGAAGCCUGAUGCAGCAACGCCGCGUGCGGGAUGACGGCCUUCGGGUUGUAAACCGCUUUCGCCUGUGACGAAGCGUGAGUGACGGUAAUGGGUAAAGAAGCACCGGCUAACUACGUG